rnacentral:rRNA from 1 species
UACAGAGGUCUCAAGCGUUGUUCGGAUUCAUUGGGCGUAAAGGGUGCGUAGGCGGCGCGGUAAGUCGGGUGUGAAAUCUCGGGGCUUAACUCCGAAACUGCAUUCGAUACUGCCGUGCUUGAGGACUGGAGAGGAGACUGGAAUUUACGGUGUAGCGGUGAAAUGCGCAGAUAUCGGGAAGAACACCCGUGGCGAAGGCGGUUCUCUGGGACGGUACUGACGCUGAGACGCGAAAGCGUGGGGAGCGAACAGG